rnacentral:rRNA from 1 species
GACGAACUGUCCUAACGUUGUUCGGAAUCACUGGGCUUAAAGGGCGCGUAGGCGGCCCUCUAAGUCAGACGUGAAAUCCCCCGGCUUAACCUGGGAACUGCGUCUGAUACUGGAGGGCUUGAGUAUGGGAGAGGGAUGUAGAAUUCCAGGUGUAGCGGUGAAAUGCGUAGAUAUCUGGAGGAAUACCGGUGGCGAAGGCGGCAUCCUGGACCAUUACUGACGCUGAGGCGCGAAAGCUAGGGGAGCAAACGGG